AUAAAUAUAUCAUGUCCUACAAAAAGAGGAUCUGUAGACAAUAUUUCACACCUUUUCCUAAGUAUCCAAGAAAACAUGAACUCUCUCGUACUUAUCCUCGGAGUCACCCUUUUAGCUUUAUGUGAAGCUCGUCCAACUGUGCAUAAAGUCACUUCAAAACUGAUAACACACGGUAAGUAACUGUACAAUCUCAUU